rnacentral:tRNA from 1 species
UCCGGCGGGCGCACUGAUUAUUGUGCGCGCGGUCUAUGGAAUCGCGCAAAGAGCGCGCGGGCCGGUCGUGCUGGUCGGCACGCACGAUCCA